UGGGGAAUUUUGGACAAUGGGCGAAAGCCUGAUCCAGCAAUGCCGCGUGUGUGAAGAAGGCCUUCGGGUUGUAAAGCACUUUUGUCCGGAAAGAAAUCCUUGGCUCUAAUACAGUCGGGGGAUGACGGUACCGGAAGAAUAAGCACCGGCUAACUACGUGCCAGCAGCCGCGGUAAUACGUAGGGUGCAAGCGUUAAUCGGAAUUACUGGGCGUAAAGCGUGCGCAGGCGGUUUGCUAAGACCGAUGUGAAAUCCCGGGCUCAACCUGGGAACUGCAUUGGUGACUGGCAGGCUAGAGUAUGGCAGAGGGGGGUAGAAUUCCACGUGUAGCAGUGAAAUGCGUAGGGAUGUGGAGGAAUACCGAUGGCGAAGGCAGCCCCCGUGGGCCAAUACUGACGCUCAUGCACGAAAGCGUGGGGAGCAAACAGGAUUAGAUACCCUGGUAGUCCACGCCCUAAACGAUGUCAACUAGUUGUUGGGGAUUCAUUUCCUUAGUAACGUAGCUAACGCGUGAAGUUGACCGCCUGGGGAGUACGGUCGCAAGAUU
rnacentral:rRNA from 1 species